rnacentral:rRNA from 1 species
CCCUUAGAUGUUCUGGGCCGCACGCGUGCUACACUGAGUAAAUCAAUGGGUAAGGGAACACGAAAGUGCAACCUAAUCUUGAAAUUUACUCGUGAUGGGGAUCGACGGUUGCAAUUUUCCGUCGUGAACGAGGAAUACCUUGUAGGCGCGUGUCAUCAUCACGCGCCGAAUACGUCCCUGCCCUUUGUACACACCGCCCGUCGCUCCUACCGAUUGAGUGAUCCGGUGAGGCUCUGGGACCUGGACGGAAAGAGCGUUUCGCUUGUUCUGUUUGGGAAACUUGGUCGAACCUUAUCAUUUAGAGGAAGGAGAAGUCGUAACA